UACGGAGGGUGCAAGCGUUAAUCGGAAUUACUGGGCGUAAAGCGUGCGCAGGCGGUUUGUUAAGUCUGUUGUGAAAUCCCCGAGCUCAACUUGGGAAUUGCAAUGGAUACUGGCAGGCUGGAGUAUGGUAGAGGAAGGUGGAAUUCCCGGUGUAGCAGUGAAAUGCGUAGAGAUCGGGAGAAACACCAGUGGCGAAGGCGGCCUUCUGGACCAAUACUGACGCUCAUGCACGAAAGCGUGGGGAGCAAACAGG
rnacentral:rRNA from 1 species